CUGCAGCAGCAGCGGUGGCAGCGGCAGUGGGCAGCAACAAAACUGCCCAGGGGAGUGAAAGAGAUGGCGCUAGAGUGAGGCCCGAAGUUGGGCCAAAGUCAGCGCCGGCGAUGACAGCAAAAAAGUAUGCUAUAUAAAAACGUUGGCGCAGCGCAGCAGCUAAGGGCGAGGGCGGGCGAGGUGGGUAAGAAGGCAAACGAAAAGGAAAACCCUCAAUUGCACAAAAACAACAACAACAACAGCAAAUG